rnacentral:piRNA from 1 species
UGGUAGGUGCCGGUGGGUUGAUGCCA